UACGUAGGGUGCAAGCGUUGUCCGGAAUUAUUGGGCGUAAAGGGCUCGUAGGCGGUCCAUCGCGUCGGGAGUGAAAAGCUGGGGCUUAACCCCAGUCCUGCUUCCGAUACGGGUGGACUAGAGGUAGGUAGGGGAGAACGGAAUUCCUGGUGUAGCGGUGAAAUGCGUAGAUAUCAGGAGGAACACCGGCGGCGAAGGCGGCCCUCUGGAUCGUUGCUGACGCUGAGACGCGAAAGCGUGGGGAGCAAACAGG
rnacentral:rRNA from 1 species